GAUUAGAUUAACAGUACAGUGUGUGUGUGAGGAUUAGGAUUAGAUUAACAGUACAGUGUGUGUGAGGAUUAGGAUUAGAUUAACAUGUGUGUGUGAGGAUUAGGAUUAGAUUAACAGUAGAGUGUGUGUGAGGAUUAGGAUUAGAUUAACAGUAGAGUGUGUGAGGAUUAGGAUUAGAUUAACAGUAGAGUGUGUGAGAGGAUUAGGAUUAGAUUAACAGUAGAGUGUGUGUGAGGAUUAGGAUUAGAUUAACAGUAGAGUGUGUGAGGAUUAGGAUUAGAUUAACAGUGGAGUGUGUGAGUAUUAGGAUUAGAUUAACAGUAGAGUGUGUGAGGAUUAGGAUUAGAUUACCAGUAGAGUGUGUGAGGAUUAGAUUAACAGUCGAGUGUGUGUGAGGAUUAGGAUUAGAUUACCAGUAGAGUGUGUGAGGAUUAGAUUAACCAUAGAGUGUGUGAGGAUUAGAUUACCAGUCGAGUGUGUGAGGAUUAGAUCAACAGUCGAGUGUGUGCGUGUGUGUGAGGAUUAGGAUUAGAUAAACCGUGUGUUCCGUACACAGAGAGUGAGAGAAAGACUUCACAAUGUUGUACAGUAAAAAUACAGUAUUACUCCGUAAUCCUCACACCAGCACAUUCACUCUUCUAAAAGCAAUCCCGUCUCUCUUUUUUCUCAUGUCUCUAAUUCAUCCUUCCUUUUACUCUUAUAUUUCCCCCUCAGUUGAAUCCGUUCUUUGUGGAAUGUUAUUUCCUGCAGUAUUUUAUUAACCUGCUUAUUGAAAACGGUUGACGUGAGUAAUCCGGCCUCACUCCGCUUUAAUACACGGACCUGCUGUGCACGAUGCUACUUAUUUUACCUGUGCAUUAGUCUGUUUCAUCCAUCAUGAGCUCCACAACGAUGGCUGGAUCAGAUCCAAUUUCACAGGGGAAUUGAGUGGAACGAGUCAGAUUGCUAGCGUGCACCAUGACAGACAGCAAGAGCAUUUGGGCAGGAGUGAAGGGAUAUAUAGUAUACACUAUAUAAUACUAAAGCAAUACCGCUAUGUGUAUCCGCAUCCGUUUCGUGCUCCGAAUAUCCAUAUCUAGAUUAGGAUUUAAACCCGAAGUGGGCGUGGCCUAAACACGGUAUAUGGAACAUAACUUCGUUUUCACUAAUCGUGGUUUAAUUUACGCUUUCAACGUUUCCGUUUGCCAUCCUGGCACAGAUCUCACAUGCGGGCAGGGCUUAACACAUGAUUUCCUCUCAUUGGCUAGUGAGAUUUGGAUCGACAGCUCCCUGUCCAGGAAGUAGAGAUUUGAGCGGUGUGCAUUCUGGAGGCGUUUCUCUGUAUACUGUAGUUACA
ensembl:lncRNA